GUGCACCAGUGCUUUUGGAAGUGCUGCAGCCCAGCUUCUGGAGAGAGAUGCCGUCACCACAGCAAGCAUGAAGGGCUGAACACCAGCAUCCUACAGUACAUCUCCACACUGCUACAGCCCCAGCUUUCGAUCAGGGCUGUACAGGGAACUGCAGCAGAUGCCAAAUGAAGAUACUGAACUGAAUUUCAGAUCUGGAGACAGGAAUGAAACAGAGGCAUUCUUAAACUAACUGUAUUUCAACCAUCUCACAUGGGCAAUGCCUGUUCUGUAUUAAAGGGGGACAUUACCAAGUUAC
rnacentral:lncRNA from 1 species